AUUGACCUAAUCUUUAACUUACAAUCAGAAAAAGAGACACAGACUCAUUUGAUAUUUGCUCAGAAGUGGGCAUCCAGAAUGCAAGCUUACAAGAUUGCAUCUGAAAACAGUCGAAAGUCAUCUGCUAAAGGAAAGAAGUACUAUGACAGGAAGGUGAAAAGUGUGCCACUUCAGCCAGGUGAUCGAGUUUUGGUACGGAAUCUGUCUGAGAGAGGAGGUCCGGGAAAGCUUCGCCCAUACUGGGAAAAGUUAGUGCACAGAGUAGUGGAAAGAAUCAAAGAGGGGCCGGUGUACAAGAUCCAAGCUGAAACUGGUAAAAAAAACAUUCGGGUGUUACACAGAAACCUUUUAUUACCGGUGAAUGACUUACCUGUUGAAGACAGCAUUCCAGGAGCACCUGUAAAGAAAAGACAAGUUAGUGAGAAAAAAAGUAUUGAGCAGAAUGUGGACCAGGAAGAGGAAUGCUCAGAUGAGGACGAAGGGUAUUAUCCCUACUUACCAGCAAGUACAGUGAAACAUGAUGACGUGGAAUUUCCAAAGUCUCAAACUAAGAAACAGCAUCAGUUAAGAGCAAUUGCAAAUGAGUUUCACCCAUCCUCGACAACUGUGUCACAGCCACUUACCGUACAGGAGUACAGUACAGGAUGUGAGGAUCAAGUUGUGGAAGAAGAUGACACUCCUUUUUUCGGAUUACAACAGUUGCCUCUCAUAAGCCAAGACUUGCCUGCAAGACAAAAUGAACAAUGUGAGGAUGUUGAUGGAGAGGAACAAGAAACUGUACGAAGAUCAAACAGACAAGCAAAACCAAAAGAAAUCCUAACCUAUGACAUACUAUGUCCGCCAACGUACCGACAAAGUAAUUUAAACACAGCACAUGCUUACAUGGUUCCAGGUAGUCCAGUUACUUACCAAGUAGUUAAUGCAGCUCCUUGGUGGCAUACUAUCCCUGUUUGGACUUGUUAGAAGAAAAAAAAACUUACCUGGUAUUGUUGUGAAGUAUCAAAUUUAAUGGGGGGAGAGUGUAGAGGGCUGGAAAUGAUAGACUCUUAGUAAAAAAAACAAGAAAUAAAAACACCCCUACAUUUUUUUUUGAUCUUACGUUCUUUUAAAGAUAUGUAGGUAAGCAGCCUGUAGAGGGCGCAUGACACAUUGAAAAGAGUCAGUGGUUACGUUCUUUUAAAGAUAUGUAGGUAAACAGCCUGUAGAGGGCGCAUGACACAAAAAAAAGAGAGAGUAGUUACGUUCUGGUCAAAAGAUCAGUAAUAAAAGUGCCAGAACGCUGAUGCAUGGUAUCUGCUUUCUCUUAUUAUAUUUCCAGUUACGAACUCGACUCUUCCUUAUCGAGGUCUGUAACAUAUGCAGUCAGCUUGUUUACUGAGAUAUGCAGUCUGUACAGGUUAACUCCAGACAGGAAACGUGUCAACGUGUUGGUGUGUAUCAUUGAUCAGCGGAUUGCAGAAGCAGCAAUAGCAUUGAGUGAUUAUUGCAGGUUGUGCAAAAAAACUAGGGAUCGACCGAUAUGGAUUUUUCAUUGCCGAUACCGAUUUUUGUUUCAUUAGCCGAUGGCCGAUACAGGCUGUCGAUUUUCAUGAGCCGAUAUUUGUAGACGAUACUGCUUUUGCUCACUCAAUAUACAUCAUAAAAAUGACACAAUGAUGAUGCCAAAUGUUACAAGACUCAAUUUUAAAAAAGUAACAUUUAUUGAACUUAAAAAAAAAACUAUAUUUAACAAAUAGUAAAAACAGGUGAGGGUGCUAUGGAACUAUGAACUGCACUCUCCACAAUGAUGAGGAACUAUCAGCAAAGGACAUUGAUUUCUAGCACUUUACUACUACAAAUAUAUAUAGGGGUGGUUUCCCGGACAGGAAUUAUCUUAAACUAGGACUAGAGCUUAGUUUAAUUAGGAAAUAUAACUAGUUUUAACAAACAUGCCUUACUAAAAACAUUACUUGUGUCCAUUUUGAGGCAAAACCCAGUGAACUGAUGUAUUUUAAGAUAUGUUUAAAAGAGAUGUUAUUAGUUUUGUAGAUUGGUUUCCGCAAAAUAGAAAAGGAAGCAGGAGAAAAUAAUGUGAAGGUUUCCAUACCGAUCUGUAGGGCAAAAUUAAAUUGCAGAUUUAAUUGGGCUGGGUUUAGCCAGAUUAGAUAGGGGGCAGCAUACAUGAAGUUUGUGUCCAAACACUGCCGUACUCUGCAGUGUCUUUUUGUGGUUUCAAUAAUUAGUCAUAGGCUACAUGGAAUACAGUGGCACUGAGGAAAAGUUAGGCAAACUAUGUGUAAUUUUUCUUGUGUUUAAUGUUUGCCUUGUCUGCAAGUUCAUUUUCAAAGACAGAAGAAGGCCACAGAAACCACUGACCCUCCAGAAGCUACUGGAGAACAGGGAGCUACUGGGAGCACCAGCCUUCCAAAAGCUAAUGGAGAACAGGGAGCUACUGGGAGCACCAGCCUUCCAGAAGCUAAUGGAGAACAGGGAGCUACUGGGAGCACCAGCCUUCCAGAAGCUAAUGGAGAACAGGGAGCUACUGGGAGCACCAGCCUUCCGGAAGCUAGUGGGAGCACCAGCCCUCCGGAAGAUACUGGGAGCACCAGCCCUCCGGAGGAUACUGGGAGCACCAGCCUUCCGGAAGAUACUGGGAGCACCAGCCCAUCAGAAGCAACAAAACCCCAGGCCAAAAAAAGACAUAGAAAUCCAGUCCAACAGAGGAGAGCCAGUAAAAUGAAGCAAAUAAAAAAGCAUGAGUGUCCAGAAUACUGUUGGAGAGCGAGGCAAAACAACUUUGACUACUCCAAGGUUCUAAAAAGAAGAGUGAGAGAGGGAACAGAGGAGGUUCUCAUUCGUUGGGUUCCGUGCAAGACCUGUGGGACUAAAUGGAAGGACUCUUUGGGAGCCCUUCUCCCUUCUUGAAGAAUAAAUUGUUGUUGAUUACCUAAAAUGUAUAUGCUAUAUAAAUAUAGAUUUAACCUGAAUAAAAAUCCUUUGUUGAAUGUCAGCUUUGUAUUCAUCAUUAUUGGACAUGGUUUGUCAUGGUAUGUCAGUUUUGUGGUCUUGCAUUCUCUAUUCACAAAUUGAACGUUGCAUGUGUUGCAUUUUACACUUAAAUAUGUUGCUGUUCAGUAUGAAAUUGAUUCCAUCUGCAAGGAAGAGCAAUUUAGCUGUCCUGCCUGCACCCCAGCAAUGCUUGCGUUCUUGGUUGAAGGAAACUGCAAUCAUAACUGUUUAAAGGUAUUCAAGAAUGUACACAUUCACACAGUUUAUAUCAAUGAACUCUAUUUGUUGUUGUUGUUUUAGAUCUGAAUAGCUGUGCAUGUUAUCUUCUUUGUAAGCAGGAUAACUCUGUGGAUGCGUGGGCAUGGUACAGGAAGGAACCUAUUAUAUUUUGCGGAAGUUUGAAUUUUGAAAAUGAAUUAAAACUGAUGUAGUUGUAGCUUUACUGUAUGCCCUUGCUGUCAGGUUUGUGUCCCUCUUUCCAGAUGACAGUGAGAGGAAAACAUCACAAUGGUACCACCCUAGGGCAGGAGGUGGAACAGUAGUUGUAUCUAUAAUUGGAUAGAAGACCAGAAGUAGUAAUGGCCAUGGUAGUUGUAUCUUUUGAUUUUUUAAUUCAUUGGCAAUAAAUCAAUAUUUAUGCAUUUAAAGCAUUAAAAUAAUUUAAUAUUGUAAUAUUACAUAGAAACAGGUCUCUUUCUAUGUAUUUCUAUUUUCCAAGAAACAAAUGUUACUUGUUUUACACAAACUAAAGAGGAUUGAACAGAAUAAACUGUAUAAUGAAUAUCAAAUGAUCAGAUAAGAAAUAUCAAAUAGUGGUUCAUACACUAAUAAUAGUUGUUCUUGUCAGACUUCUAAAGCUUUACAGAUCCACUUUUGGACCUGGAAACCCUGAGAGCUCACCUUCAACUGGAAAUGAGAGAAUGGGCAGAUGGUAAGAAAAUGAUGUGCAUUAUCUGACUUGAAGUUUUGUAUUUAUUACAAAGUUGACCGAUGUGUUAAUCACUUUUUUUAGGGGAAACUGACUAGCAUAUACUUAUUGUGGGGCAUAAAAAGGAAUAAUGAUAUAAGCACCAUGUUAUUCUGCUGUAGUAAUUUUUAUAGUCCCUUGUAUGAUCUCUUAGUAUUGUUUCUGUAGAAUGUAAACUAUUCCAUCACUACAAAGAUGUGU